rnacentral:rRNA from 1 species
GACGAACGCUGGCGGCGUGCUUAACACAUGCAAGUCGAGCGGUAAGGCCCUUUCGGGGGUACACGAGCGGCGAACGGGUGAGUAACACGUGGGUGACCUGCCCUCAGCUCUGGGGAUAAGCCUGGGAAACUGGGUCUAAUACUGGAUAUGACUCCACGGUGCAUGUCGUGGGGUGGAAAGGCCUUGUGCGGCUGAGGAUGGGCCCGCGGCCUAUCAGCUUGUUGGUGGGGNGAUGGGCCUACCAAGGCGACGACGGGUAGCCGGCCUGAGAGGGC